CUUGUGAUGUCCCAUGAUCUGUAGCCUUCUCCCUGUUAUCCUGCCCUCUUCCUCCUGGGGGUGUAGCUUCCUCCCUAGCGACAGAUUUAUCUUCUCCUCUAAUGUUUUCAUCACCAGCCUUUUUAUCUGAUACUUUUUCCUUUUGGAGAGCAGGUGUAAUUUCUACAGAUCCAUUUGUCUUUUGGGGAGCAGAUGCAUUUUCUACAAAUCCAUUUGUCUUGUGACCGUUUUGUUCUACUUCUCGAUCAAUAUCGCCAGCAUUUUGAUCAACAUUUGUACCUCCUGAUUGUGCAACAGUUUCUCCAGCACUUGUAUCAUCUUUCUUAAGUCCUUCCACUGCAACUUCAUGCACUUUUUCUGCACUCUGCUUCUCUUGUUCUACUUCUCGAUCAAUAUCGACAGCAUUUUGAUCAACAUUUGUAUCUCUUGAUUGUGCAACAGUUUUUCCAGCACUUUUAUCAUUUUCCUUUAGUCCUUCCUCUGCAUCUUCAUGCACAUUUUCUGCACUCCGCUUUUCUUUGCCUGCUCCCU
rnacentral:lncRNA from 1 species